rfam:Bacteroides sp. CAG:545 genomic scaffold, scf71
GGCCCUGUAGUUCAACGGAUAGAACGGAAGUUUCCUAAACUUUAAAUACAGGUUCGAUUCCUGUCGGGGCUA